CCUACGGGUGGCAGCAGUGGGGAAUAUUGCACAAUGGGGGAAACCCUGAUGCAGCGACGCCGCGUGAGUGAAGAAGUAUUUCGGUAUGUAAAGCUCUAUCAGCAGGAACGAGACAAGACGGUACCUGACUAAGAAGCCCCGGCUAACUACGUGCCAGCAGCCGCGGUAAUACGUAGGGGGCAAGCGUUAUCCGGAAUCACUGGGUGGAAAGGGAGCGUAGACGGCUGAGCAAGCCUGAAGUGAAAGGCGGGGGCCCAACCCCUGGACUGCUUUGGGAACUGUACGGCUGGAGUGCAGGAGAGGUAAGUGGAAUUCCUAGUGUAGCGGUGAAAUGCGUAGAUAUUAGGAGGAACACCAGUGGCGAAGGCGGUUUACUGGACUGUAACUGACGUUGAGGCUCGAAAGCGUGGGGAGCAAACAGGAUUAGAUACCCCUGUAGUC
rnacentral:rRNA from 1 species